rnacentral:rRNA from 1 species
UGCCAGACUCCUACGGGAGGCAGCAGUGGGGAAUAUUGCACAAUGGGGGGAACCCUGAUGCAGCAAUGCCGCGUGGGUGAAGAAGCACUCCGGUGCGUAAAGCCCUGUCAGCAGGGAAGAAAAUGACAGUACCUGGACAAGAAGCCCCGGCUAACUACGUGCCAGCAGCCGCGGUAAUACGUAGGGGGCAAGCGUUAUCCGGAAUUACUGGGUGUAAAGGGAGCGUAGACGGUGAAGUAAGUCUGGAGUGAAAGGCGGGGGCCCAACCCCCGGACUGCUCUGGAAACUAUUUGACUGGAGUGCAGGAGAGGUAAGCGGAAUUCCUAGUGUAGCGGUGAAAUGCGUAGAUAUUAGGAGGAACACCAGUGGCGAAGGCGGCUUACUGGACUGUAACUGACGUUGAGGCUCGAAAGCGUGGGGAGCAAACAGGAUUAGAUACCCCAGUAAA